UGAGGAAUAUUGGACAAUGGGCGCAAGCCUGAUCCAGCAAUGCCGCGUGUGUGAAGAAGGCCUUCGGGUUGUAAAGCACUUUUAUCAGGAGCGAAACGCUGUCGGCUAAUACCCGGCGGAACUGACGGUACCUGAGGAAUAAGCACCGGCUAACUUCGUGCCAGCAGCCGCGGUAAUACGAAGGGUGCGAGCGUUAAUCGGAAUUACUGGGCGUAAAGCGUGCGUAGGCGGUUUCUUAAGUCUGCUGUGAAAUCCCCGGGCUCAACCUGGGAAUGGCAGUGGAUACUGGGAGGCUAGAGUGUGUCAGAGGGUGGUGGAAUUCCCGGUGUAGCGGUGAAAUGCGUAGAGAUCGGGAGGAACAUCAGUGGCGAAGGCGGCCACCUGGGACAACACUGACGCUGAGGCACGAAAGCGUGGGGAGCAAACAGGAUUAGAUACCCUGGUAGUCCACGCCCUAAACGAUGCGAACUGGAUGUUGGUCUCAACUCGGAGAUCAGUGUCGAAGCUAACGCGUUAAGUUCGCCGCCUGGGGGAGUACGGUCGCAAGACUGAAACUUAAAUGAAUUGACGGGGUCAUAGCUGUUUCCUG
rnacentral:rRNA from 1 species